rnacentral:rRNA from 1 species
UACGUAGGUGGCGAGCGUUGUCCGGAAUUAUUGGGCGUAAAGCGCGCGCAGGCGGGAAAGUAAGUCUGUCUUAAAAGUGCGGAGCUUAACUCCGUGAGGGGACAGAAACUAUUUUUCUUGAGUGCAGGAGAGGACAGUGGAAUUCCCAGUGUAGCGGUGAAAUGCGUAGAUAUUGGGAGGAACACCAGUGGCGAAGGCGACUGUCUGGACUGUGUCUGACGCUGAGGCGCGAAAGCCAGGGGAGUGAACG